AAAAUGCGAUAACUAAUGUGAAUUGCAGAAUUAAAACGUGAAUCAUCGAGUCUCUGAACGCAAAUUGCGCUCCGCGGUCAUUCCGCGGAGCAUACCUGUUUGAGCCUCAUUUUCUUAUUCUAUCUCUCUGGAGAGAUGAAGUGCACUCCCUUCUCUUAUGAGAUAGUGUCAAAGGCAGCCUUUCUAAUUCUUUUUAUAAAAAGAGCAGUGUGCCAAUACCACCUGCUUUUUUUUACCAAAAAAAGAAAACUUCUUUGAGCUCAAAUCAGGCAGGACUACCCGCUGAACUUAA
rnacentral:misc_RNA from 1 species